rnacentral:rRNA from 1 species
UACGUAGGGUGCAAGCGUUGUCCGGAAUUAUUGGGCGUAAAGAGCUCGUAGGCGGUUUGUCGCGUCUGCUGUGAAAACCGGAGGCUCAACCUCCGGCCUGCAGUGGUACGGGCAGACUAGAGUGCGGUAGGGGAGAUUGGAAUUCCUGGUGUAGCGGUGGAAUGCGCAGAUAUCAGGAGGAACACCGAUGGCGAAGGCAGAUCUCUGGGCCGACACUGACACUGAGAGACGAAAGCUAGGGGAGCAAAUGGG